rnacentral:rRNA from 1 species
AGCGAACGCUGGCGGCAGGCCUAACACAUGCAAGUCGAACGAACCUUUCGGGGUUAGUGGCGGACGGGUGAGUAACACGUGGGAACGUGCCUUUAGGUUCGGAAUAACUCAGGGAAACUUGUGCUAAUACCGAAUGUGCCCUUCGGGGGAAAGAUUUAUCGCCUUUAGAGCGGCCCGCGUCUGAUUAGCUAGUUGGUUGAGGUAAUGGCUCACCAAGGCGACGAUCAGUAGCUGGUCUGAGAGGAUGAUCAGCCACAUUGGGACUGAGACACGGCCCAAACUCCUACGGGAGGCAGCAGUGGGGAAUCUUGCGCAAUGGGCGAAAGCCUGACGCAGCCAUGCCGCGUGAGGGAUGACGGCCUUCGGGUUGUAAACCUCUUUCAGUAGGGAAGAAGCGAAAGUGACGGUACCUGCAGAAGAAGCACCGGCUAACUACGUG